GAAAUGCGAUAAGUAAUGUGAAUUGCAGAAUUCCGUGAAUCAUCGAAUCUUUGAACGCACAUUGCGCCCUCUUGCAUUCCGGGGGGCAUGCCUGUCCGAGCGUCAUUACGCACCCUCAAGCCCGGCUUGUGUGAUGGGCCCCGGCGUCUCGUUCGCGAGACGGGCCCGAAAGGCAGCGGCGGCGUCGACCCGAUGAGCCCGAGCGUAUGGGGACUUCUGUCACACGUUCGCGGUGCGGACCGGCGCCUGCUUGACUUUUCUGAUUAUCCAGGUUGACCUCGGAUCAGGUAGGGAUACCCGCUGAACUUAAGC
rnacentral:misc_RNA from 1 species